CAAAUAACAGAGCAAGUCGCCCAGAAGAACGGCACCAGAGUUUCCUCUUCCUUCUUGUCUUCGAUAAGGAUCAGGCUCACCUUUUGGGCAGGAACGUUUGGAGAAGAGUCUGUCAGUAGUAAUAAAUGUAUGACCUAAUGGGCUGCUGUGGUAAAACUUGAAGACUUGAAGGCAUCUCUGGCAUCAGCCCAGUCUCAGAGAAAAUUUCCUCGCUGCCAGCCGCCGACUCCUCACAUCAAGUGGAGAGAGAAAGCAGUUCUCUAUAAGUGGUGAACCUGCGAUUGACCUCAUAUCUGGGGAAUGAUGUUGGUAAAUUUGAACAGACUUUUCUUCUGG